ensembl:antisense 3300002A11Rik RIKEN cDNA 3300002A11 gene
CCCAGGAAGACGCCAUUUACCUACCAGGAGCCCUUCCGGAGCCACGCCCGCUCGCUCGGAGCUGCAGAAGCGCACCAAGAUUAUUCUUCCCCCAACAAUAGGGAAGAGUUCCAGGUCAAAGCAGAAAACUGGCCCCUCACACAGAUGGAGGGACAGUCUCAGCUCCCUCGUGACAUUAUCCAUCCACUGAGGAGAAGCCGGAGUCUCAGGAUGCUACAAGGCUCUUCUGAGAGCCAGACGUGUCUGGGGACAUCCCUAGCAGCCUGGGAGGAAUCCUGGGACUGACACUUAAAACACACCAAUCUGUCUGCUGCUGAGUGAUCAGACAUCAUCGGAUUCCCCACCACUGCACCGGGACGUCUCACACUCGAGUUGUUUCUCCUUGAAAUAAAAGAAGCCUUCUUGUGCUUAUCGCUGUG